UACGUAGGCAGCAAGCGUUGUUCGGAGUUACUGGGCGUAAAGGGCGCGUAGGCGGCCUGAUAAGUAGGGGGUGAAAUCCUGAGGCUCAACCUCGGUCGUGCGAUGGAUACUGCCGGGCUAGAGGGUGGUAGAGGCGAGUGGAAUUCCCGGUGUAGCGGUGAAAUGCGCAGAUAUCGGGAGGAACACCAGUAGCGAAGGCGGCUCGCUGGGCCACACCUGACGCUGAGACGCGAAAGCUAGGGGAGCGAACAGG
rnacentral:rRNA from 1 species